CUCCUGUGAUCUCUGAAUAGGAACUGGCACUCAGGUUUCUCUCUUCUGCUCCCUCGCUCUGUACAGUCUCCUGUGAUCACUGAAUAGGAACUGGCACUCAGGUUUCUCUCUUCUGCUCCCUCGCUCUGUACAGUCUCCUGUGAUCACUGAAUAGGAACUGGCACUCAGGUUUCUCUCUUCUGCUCCCUCGCUCUGUACAGUCUCCUGUGAUCACUGAAUAGGAACUGGCACUCAGGUUUCUCUCUUCUGCUCCCUCGCUCUGUACAGUCUCCUGUGAUCACUGAAUAGGAACUGGCACUCAGGUUUCUCUCUUCUGCUCCCUCGCUCUGUACAGUCUCCUGUGAUCACUGAAUAGGAACUGGCACUCAGGUUUCUCUCUUCUGCUCCCUCGCUCUGUACAGUCUCCUGUGCUACGUAUUUCUCU